GAUGAACGCUGGCGGCGUGCCUAAUACGUGCAAGUCGAGCGAACUGAUUAGAAGCUUGCUUCUAUGACGUUAGCGGCGGACGGGUGAGUAACACGUGGGCAACCUGCCUGUAAGACUGGGAUAACUUCGGGAAACCGAAGCUAAUACCGGAUAGGAUCUUCUCCUUCAUGGGAGAUGAUUGAAAGAUGGUUUCGGCUAUCACUUACAGAUGGGCCCGCGGUGCAUUAGCUAGUUGGUGAGGUAACGGCUCACCAAGGCAACGAUGCAUAGACGACCUGAGAGGGUGAUCGGCCACACUGGGACUGAGACACGGCCCAGACUCCUACGGGAGGCAGCAGUAGGGAAUCUUCCGCAAUGGACGAAAGUCUGACGGAGCAACGCCGCGUGAGUGAUGAAGGCUUUCGGGUCGUAAAACUCUGUUGUUAGGAAAGAACAAGUACGAGAGUAACUGCUCGUACCUUGACGGUACCUAACCAGAAAGCCACGGCUAACUACGUGCCAGCCGCCGCGGUAAAAC
rnacentral:rRNA from 1 species